UACGUAGGGGGCAAGCGUUGUCCGGAUUUAUUGGGCGUAAAGAGCGUGUAGGCGGCCAUACAGGUCCGUUGUGAAAACUGGAGGCUUAACCUCCAGACGUCGAUGGAAACCGUAUGGCUAGAGUCCGGAAGAGGAGAGUGGAAUUCCUGGUGUAGCGGUGAAAUGCGCAGAUAUCAGGAGGAACACCUAUUGCGAAGGCAGCUCGCUGGGACGUAACUGACGCUGAGACGCGAAAGCGUGGGGAGCAAACAGG
rnacentral:rRNA from 1 species